rnacentral:rRNA from 1 species
CCUACGGGUGGCAGCAGUGAGGAAUAUUGCACAAUGGAGGAAACCCUGAUUCAGCGACGCCGCGUGAGUGAAGAAGUAUUUAUGUACGUAAAGCUCUAUCAACAGGGAAGAAAAUGACGGUACCUGACGAAGAAGCCCCGGCUAACUACGUGCCAGCAGCCGCGGUAAUCCGUCGGGUGCAAGCGUUAUCCGGAUUUACUGGGUUGAAAGGGAGCGUAGACGGCAGCGCAAGUCUGAAGUGAAAUCCCAUGGCUUAACCAUGAAACUGCAUUGGAAACUGUGCAGCUUGAGUGCAGGAGAGGUAAGCGGAAUUCCUAGUGUAGCGGUGAAAUGCGUAGAUAUUAGGAGGAACACCAGUGGCGAAGGCGGCUUACUGGACUGUAACUGACGUUGAGGCUCGAAAGCGUGGGGAGCAAACAGGAUUAGAUACCCGGGUAGUC